UUGCUUAACAUACAAGUCCCGAUCAAAUCUUCUUUUCAUUGCUAUGGAAUUUUGACCCCUGUUUUUAGUGGAAUCUU